rnacentral:misc_RNA from 1 species
GAAAUGCGAUAAGUAGUGUGAAUUGCAGAAUUCAGUGAAUCAUCGAAUCUUUGAACGCACAUUGCGCCCUUCGGUAUUCCGUUGGGCAUGCCUGUUCGAGCGUCAUUUUAACCUUCAAGCAUAGCUUGGUGUUGGGUGCUUGUCCCCCCUAGUGGUGGACUCACCUCAAAUGCAUUGGCGGCCGGUAUGUUGGCUUCGAGCGCAGUACAACGCGCCUGGUGUCUAGACGUGCUGGUCCUCCACAAGACCUUUAAUCUUGACCUCGGAUCAGGUAGGGAUACCCGCUGAACUUAA